CCUACGGGAGGCAGCAGUGAGGAAUAUUGGUCAAUGGCCGGAAGGCUGAACCAGCCAUGCCGCGUGAAGGUCAGUGCCCUAUGGGCGUUAAACUUCUUUUGUGCGGGAGCAAUAAUGGUCACGUGUGGCCAGACGAGAGUACCGUACGAAUAAGCAUCGGCUAACUCCGUUCCAGCAGCCGCGGUAAUACGGGGGAGGCAAGCGUUAUCCGGAUUUAUUGGGGUUAAAGGGUGCGUGGGCUGGGAGGUAAGUCAGCGGUGAAAUGCCCCCGCUCAACGGGGUGAAGUGCCAUUGAUACUGCCUUGCUGGAAUGCGGAUGCCGUGGGAGGAAUGUGUGGUGUAGCGGUGAAAUGCAUAGAUAUCACACAGAACACCGAUUGCGAAGGCAUCUCACGAAUCCGCGAUUGACGCUGAUGCACGAAAGCGUGGGUAUCAAACAGGAUUAGAUACCCGAGUAGUC
rnacentral:rRNA from 1 species